AGAAGGGACCGGUCUCUUAUUCUGAUCGUAAUUUGGGACCACGGAUCCAACGAAUCAGCUGAUCGGAUCGGGUUCAUUAGCGAUUCAGAUCCGAUCCGAAAUUUUCGGGUUGGUUCAAAUCGAAUAGGUGCGGAGAGCUUCUCCACCAGCCAACACCAGCCAUUUAAGCUUCAUUGAGGAUUUCAAUGACAAGUCAAGCAUGAAUUAUCAUCUCAACAUGGAUUUGAGCUAUCACAACAAGGAAAUCUUAAUUUCAAGUAUGGUAUCAGAAUGGUAGAUCAAUGUACAAGCAUAUCAAAGUACCUGUUCCAAUGUGGCAGUUCUGGAUGGCAACAUUGGUGGAUUCACUGAUAUGAAUGCCAUC